rnacentral:misc_RNA from 1 species
UCUCCGUUGGUGAACCAGCGGAGGGAUCAUUACUGAGUGUUACAACUCCCAAACCCACUGUGGACCUUACCAUUUGUUGCUUCGGCGGGAUCGCCCCGGCGCCUCACGGUGCCGGGCCGCGCCCGCCGGGGGCCCUAAACUCUUGUCUUUAGCGGUUUUCUCUCUGAGUGGCACAAGCAAAUAAAUAAAAACUUUCAACAACGGAUCUCUUGGUUCUG